rnacentral:rRNA from 1 species
GACGAACGCUGGCGGCGUGCUUAACACAUGCAAGUCGAACGAAGUGGCGAACGGGUGAGUAACGCGUAAUCAACCUGCCCUUCAGAGGGGGACAACAGUUGGAAACGACUGCUAAUACCGCAUACUGAAGGAGGGGAUUGCGUCUGAUUAGCUAGUUGGAGGGGUCACGGCCCACCACGGCGAUGAUCAGUAGCCGGUCUAGGAGGAUGAACGAGCACAAUGGGACUGGAACACGGCCCAGACUCCUACGUGAGGCAGCAGUGGGGAAUCUUCCUAAAUUGACGAAAGUCUGACUGAACAACGCCGCGUGAGUGAAGACGGCCUUCGGGUUGUAAAGCUCUGUUAAUCGGUACGCGGUACCUGUAUAGAAAGCCACGGCUAACUACGUGACAGCAGCCGCGGUAAUUC